rnacentral:tRNA from 1 species
GGGCGUGUAGCUCAGUGGGAGAGCGUUCGGUUCGCAUCCGAGAGGCCGCGGGUUCGAAUCCCGCCACGUCCACCA